NNNNNNNNNNNNNNNNNNNNNNNNNNNNNNNNNNNNNNNNNNNUGCCUCAGUAACGGCGAGUGAAGCGGCAAGAGCUCAAAUUUGAAAGCUGGCCCCUUCGGGGUCCGCGUUGUAAUUUGCAGAGGAUGCUUCGGGUGCGGCCCCUGUCUAAGUGCCCUGGAACGGGCCGUCAGAGAGGGUGAGAAUCCCGUCUUGGGCAGGGUGCCCGUGCCCGUGUGAAGCUCCUUCGACGAGUCGAGUUGUUUGGGAAUGCAGCUCUAAAUGGGUGGUAAAUUUCAUCUAAAGCUAAAUACUGGCCGGAGACCGAUAGCGCACAAGUAGAGUGAUCGAAAGAUGAAAAGCACUUUGAAAAGAGAGUUAAACAGCACGUGAAAUUGUUGAAAGGGAAGCGCUUGCGACCAGACUCGGCCCCGGGGUUCAGCCAGCACUCGUGCUGGUGUACUUCCCCGGGGGCGGGCCAGCGUCGGUUUGGGCGGCCGGUCAAAGGCCCCAGGAAUGUAUCGCCCUCCGGGGUUGUCUUAUAGCCUGGGGUGCAAUGCGGCCAGCCCGGACCGAGGAACGCGCUUCGGCACGGACGCUGGCGUAAUGGUCGCAAACGACCCGUCUUGAAACACGGACCAAGGAGUCUAACAUCUACGCGAGUGUUCGGGUGUCAAACCCGUACGCGCAGUGAAAGCGAACGGAGGUGGGAGCCCCCCCGGGGCGCACCAUCGACCGAUCCUGAUGUCUUCGGAUGGAUUUGAGUAAGAGCGUAGCUGUGGGGACCCGAAAGAUGGUGAACUAUGCCUGAAUAGGGCGAAGCCAGAGGAAACUCUGGUGGAGGCUCGCAGCGGUUCUGACGUGCAAAUCGAUCGUCAAAUUUGGGUAUAGGGGCGAAAGACUAAUCGAACCAUCUGGUAGCUGGUUCCUGCCGAAGUUUCCCUCAGGAUAGCAGUAACGCGGAUCAGUUUUAUGAGGUAAAGCGAAUGAUUAGAGGCAUUGGGGUUGAAACAACCUUAACCUAUUCUCAAACUUUAAAUAUGUAAGAAGC
rnacentral:rRNA from 1 species